ensembl:lncRNA
CGACUGAGCGACUGAUGGUCCUUCCACUUUUCAAGCAGAUCGUGCACACCGGGUUUCAAAGGCUGAGUGUGGAGAAAGCCGCAGAAUAGCUGACGGGUGAUUCUCUUCUUUCCUUUUGGCGGCCCUGGGUCUUCGCUGCCCUGCGGGGCUUUGUCUCUCUGUGGGGACGGGGCUGCUCUCCUCGCAGGGGCUUCCCUUGUUGCCGAGCUCGGGCUUCAGAGGCUCUGCUGCACGGGCGUCCUUGCUGCUCAGCUUGUGGGAUCUUCCCGGGCCAGGGAUUGAACGCACGUCCCCUGCAUUGGCAGGCAGAUUCUUAACCACCGGCUGACCAGGGAAGUCCGCUCGUGAAUAAUAUUUUAAAUAUAUUAAUUUUAUGUUGAAACAAUGAUAUUUGAGAUAUGUUGGAUUAAAUAAAUAUGAUUAAAAUGAAUUUCAGCUGUUUCUGUUUAGUUCUUCAAUGCGACUUGGACGUGGUCAGUCGCUCAGUCGUGUCCGACUCUUUGGGACCCCAUGGACUGUACCCCGCCAGGCUCAUCCAUCCAUGGGAUUUCUCAGGCAAGAAUACUGGAGUGAGCUGCCAUUUCUUUCUCCAGGGGCUCUUCCCAGCCCAAGGAUCUUCCCUACCUGUGUCUCCUGCAUCUCCUGCGUUGCAGGCAGAGUCUUUACUGCUGAGCCACUGGGGAAGCCCCACCAGAAUGUUCAUGAUUACACAGGAGCUAACGCUUUACCUCUCUUGGUCAGGAUUUUCUUGUGUUGGGCACUGUUCUAAGCCUUUUCGCCCCCUCACCACCACCCUCCAAGGGACGUCCCAUCCUUGUCCUAUGAUCUAGACAAGAAAACGGAAGCCUGGAGAAAUGUUGUAAGAUCACCCAACCAUGGCAACAGGAUAAAUAGAACGAGAUUUGUGCCCAGGGUGUCGGUGUCCAGUUCCAAAACCCACCCUCUUGCCCAGUGCCCUCUGUUGUCUUUUAAGAUGUUGGUGCUCUUAGAGAACUCACCACAUAGCCAGCCUCUGAAACUAGAAAUAAAUACUACUGUUGUAGGGUUUGAAUAGUGCAGUGAUCCAGCUAUAUACAGGAGGCACAGAUAAUUGGUUCUGAUCUCUGAAGGAAUCCUGGCAGGCUUCCAAGAGGAGGUGACAUUUGGAUGGUGCUCUGAAGGUGGUUGGUAGAGAAAGGGAUGGGCAUUCUAGGUCGUGGGCUCCUGUGUGCAGAAGCACAGAGGGGAGAGGAAGAGCUUUGGGAUGUCUGAGAAGAUCGUUUAGGGGAGAAGCCUUCAGGGAGUUCAGGGGGAGACGUGCAAACACAUGCCUGCCAGGAGCCUGAGGAUCCUGGGCUUUGUGGUUCGGUUGAACUUCAUACUGACGGGAAAGGAUUUUAAGUAGAGAAAUAGCACCAUCAAGGGGAGAUGGUUUGGGGGUGCUCAGCCUUCUGGGAGGAGGAUGGGUUGAGGGCAGUGGGGAAGCCCCUCAUUUAGGAGACUGGUCAGGGGUCCAAGGGCGAGAUCACGAGGACCUGGGCACAAGGGGGAGAGGAGGGUGUGGACUGAGGGGGAUGCUAGGUGUGGAUCCACGGAGAUUGAUGGUGCGGCGGAGGGUGGAUUCGAGAUGGAUCCUGGGUGUCUUAUCCAUGCUGAAUAGUCAGUGGUGACAUCUAGAAACUGGCAGAGAAAAAGGGAGGGGGCGGGCUUGUGGUGGUGGGGAGAGCACUUUUAAGCUUUUUAGUUUGUAAUGGGGUAUGGUUUUCCCAGUGGUCAUGUAUGGAUGUGAGAGUUGGACUGUGAAGAAAGCUGAGUGCCGAAGAAUUGAUGCUUUUGGGCUCUGGUGUUCGAGAAGACUCUUGAGAGUCCCUUGGACUGCAAGGAGAUCCAGCCAGUCCAUUCUGAAGGAGAUCAGCCCUGGGUGUUCUUUGGAAGGACUGAUGCUAAAGCUGAAGCUCCAGUACUUUGGCCACCUCAUGCGAAGGGUUUACUCAUUGGAAAAGACUCUGAUGCUGGGAGGGAUUGGGGGCAGGAGGAGAAGGGGACGACAGAGGAUGAGAUGGCUGGAUGGCAUCACUGACUCGAUGGACAUGAGUCUGAAUGAACUCCAGGAGUUGGUGAUGGACAGGGAGGCCUGGCGUGCUGCGAUUCAUGGGGUUGCAGAGAGUCAGACACGACUGAGCGACUGAACUGAACUGAACUGAACUGAUAGCGGCCGAGCAACGCUGUGAUAGUUUCAGGCACACAGCGACCGGACUCAGCCAUGCAUAUGCACCCAUCCACCCUCCCCCGGACUCCCCUCCCAUCCAGGCCGCCGCCCAGCAGGGAGCAGAGUUCCCUGCGCUGUACAGGAGGUCCUUGUUGGUUAUCCGUUUAAAAUCUGGCGGUGUGUCCAUGUCAACCCCGAACUCCCUAACCAUCCCUCCCCCACCCAAUCCUUUCCCUACCCUCAGUCACCAUGAGCUCGCUCCUAGCCUGGGAGUCUGUUUGCCUUUUGUAAAUAACUUCAUUUGUAUCAUUUCUUUUAGAUUCUGCAUAUAAGGGAUGUCAUACGCUGUUUCUCCUUCUCUGUCUGACUUUCUGAGUUACUUCACUCAGCGUGACAACCUCUAGGGCCAUCCCGUGUUGCUGCACACAGCAUUAUUUUGCUCUUUUUGGUGGCUGAGUAAUAUUCCUCUGUAUACGUGUACCGCAUCUUGUUUAUCCAUUCCUCUGUCGUUGAACAUUUUCACGGGGGAGGAGUGCUUUGAGACAAGAUGAGUUUCUGGGAGGGCCCCCUGGGUGAGGUGACUCUGUUAAGUACUGGAAAUAGUCAUCUAGCACUCAGGCCACAGAGGUGGUCAGCUCAGGGCUGACCAUGGCUCUCAGCGAUUAGGGAGCCCAGGGACGUAGCCUCCUACUAAGCACACUGCGCAUAUCAUCUCAUUUAACCUUCUGAGUCACUGGUGGUGUAUAACCCUAAUCAUGCGGAAUUGAUGCUUUUGAACUGUGGUGUUGGAGAAGGCUUUUGAGAGUCUCUUGGACUGCAAGGAGAUCCAACCAGUCCAUCCUAAAGGUAGUCAACCCUGAAUAUUCACUGGAAGGACUGAUGCUGAAGGUGAAACUCCAGUAUUUUGGUCAUCUGAUGUGAGCAGCUGACUCAUUGGAAAAGUCCCUGAUGUUGGGAAAGCUUGACGGCAAGAGAGGAAGGGGGCGACAGAGGAUGAGAUGGUUGGAUGGCAUCAUCGACUCAAUGGACAUGAGUCUGAGCAAACUCUGGGAGACAGCAAAGGACAGGGGAGCCUGGUGUGCUGCGGUCCAUGGUGUCGGACACAACCGAGCAACAGGCACAGUGCAGGAGAGACCGUGAGCUCAGGGAGGGCCACUGGACGGCUGGUGGCCACACAGCUCUUAACCAGGGGCCAGGGCUGAAACCUCAGGUUUCCCUCGUCUCUGCGUUUACUCUCAUUCCUCUGCCCGUGCUCACCAGGACGUUUUGGAAACAAGACACAAAUUCCAGCCACGAGGGACAGAGAGAGAGUGGCUGGAUGGCAGGAGAGAAGCCGGGAGACUGUAGCGUGCUCCUGGUCUCCAGGGCAAGGAGCACCAAGGCUGCGGAGGACUCUGUGCUUAGCGCUCGUCAUAGGAUGAUGUUUUCACUCGCUAGGUAGUGUCUGACUCUCUGCGACCCCAUGGACUGUAGCCCACCAGGCUCCUCUGUCCAUGGAAUUUCCCAAUCAAGAAUACUGGAGUGGAUUGCCAUUUACUCCUCCAGGGGAUCUUCUCGACCCAGGGAGUGAACCCCAGUCUCCUGCAUUGGCAGGUGGGUUCCUUACCACUGAGCCACCAGGAAGCCCCCUGUCAUCGGGUGACCUUGAGCCAAAGCAGUUUUGAGGGUGCUGGGCGUGGGUGGCAGUUGCAGAGGCUGGAGCAGUGGCCUGGAGGAGCGGAUGCAGCGAUUCAGAAAGCCCAGCUGCAAGGGAGGUCGGGGAGCAGAGGAAGCUCUACCCCGGAGGCAAUGAAGGGCUAGCCCCGCACCUCUACAGACCCUCCACGCCCUGCACCGGACUGUGUAUUUAAACCCUCACGUGUAUUUAUAACCUCAUUGUUUUUCUUAAAGAAGCUGUCCCUCCCUUCAGAAAAAUGUCCAUGCUUCAGGUCCAGCAAAACCUGGAUCCAUCCUUAGGAGGGGGAGCUGACUUGAAAGAUGGAAUUGAGGAAGCAGUCAGCCCAGGAGCCAGCUCCAGGCUCCGAGUUCCAGGCCUGGCUUUACCUCUUGCCAGCUGCAGACCUGGGCAAGUUAUUUAACCUCUGGGCACUUCCCUUUCCUUUUCUGUAAAACAGAAAUCAUAGAAGUGCCCAUCUUCUAAGGUGGCUGAAAAGAUUCAGGGAGAUGCUCAAUGCCUUUGCUAUGGUUUCCUGUUAUAUAAUAUUCUUAUUAAUAUGUAUAUUCCUGCUGGUGUUCUAAGGAUUUUUUUGUUCUGUUUUCCUGUGGAAUUCUCCAGUAUUCUGGCCUGGAGAAUCCCAUGGACAGAGGAGCCUGGUGGGCUACAGCCCGUGGGGUCACAAAGGGUCAGACACGACUGAUCGACUAACACUUCAGUCCUACGAAAAAACCAUGAUUCAAGAAGUCACAUGCCCACCUACGGUCACUGCAGCACUGUUUACAAUAGCCAGGACAUGGGAAAAACCUAGAUGCCCGUCGGCAGAUAAAGGGAUAAAGAAGACAUCCCCGCCCGUCCCCCCCAACACACACACACACACACACACACACACACACACACACACACACACACACACAGCGGAACACCACCAGCAACUACAAGGACCAAAAUCGGGUCAUCCCACCAUUUGUUUCUGAGGAUGGGAUCCUGUCCCGGGAGGCGCCUGGAGUCGAGGGCUGUUUCAGAAGUCUUCUAGGUUUGUAGACCAUGCAGGGCUGAGGGCCGUGCCCCAAGCCUAGGAUGACACAUACCAGCGGCCCGCUUGCAGGCCUGAGGCUGAGUUCCUGAUGCAAAAACGUGGAACGGCCGGAAGUCCGUCCAUCUGAUGGGCAGUCUGCCCAUCAGACUUGCCCUUCCCUCGGGCCCCUCUCCUUUUGGAGAGCAUACCUUUCUCACGUGGAGUGAGAUGUCGAAGGAGAAGGUGGGUCUGGUCCCCGAUGGCAAGAGCAGCGCCCAGCAUCCCUGGGCAGCCGGUUCCAGGCGGGACCCGGGUUGCACUCGCAGGGACAGCUGGUCCGUCUGCGGGCUCCUGCCGCGGGCCCGGGAGCGACAGCUUGGCGGGCUCCGGCCAGGCUCUAGACCCUCCGGGGACCGCUGGAGGCGCAGAGCCCUGGACCGCUUCCCGGAGCGCGGCGCGGCUGUCCUCCGAGCGGCCGCGCGAUGGAGCUGUGGCUCCGCCGGCGGCCGCGGCCUCCCGCCGCCCUGCCCGGGAACCGGCGCCCGGCCGGCCCGCGGCCUAGGGCGGGGGCGCAGCGCCGCUCCCUCCGCGGCGGCCAGCUUCCCGAGCGCACAAAGCCGCCGCUCGGGGCCCAGGGCCUCCCCACGACAGCCCCCGGCGGAAGAGCUUGCGUCUUGGGCACUGUUUUCCCCUCCUUGGCCUGGCCUUACGGAGCACCCUUGCUGCUCCUGACUUGAUUCUUCUUAAAACAUGUCUUUUUUUCAGCUGUUUAUUUGCCUGCGCCGGGUUUGUGCGGCCUCAUCAAUAGCUGUUUACCAGGUCGGUUACCCCCGAGCCCCGGGGGCAUCCUGAAACCAUGCAGUUUCAUUCCAUCUUUACUCCGAUUUGCGUUUGGGAAUUGAAGGGAGAAAUGGCAGGGCUGGUCUGUUUCCUUUUUUCAAGCUUCUAACCUCGCUCCGAAAAAAUCCCUCUUGGGGCUUGUGCUCCGGGAGAAAGGUGUUUGAACACCGAGUUCAAGCGAGCUGGCGGGAUGGAAUGUAGGAGAAGAAAAAGAAAAAAGGAGGCUUUUCAAAGAUGAACUUUUUUAUCCGACUCCAAACCUGCCGCGGUGCACUUUUAUAAAAUGCUGAGAAGCACAAAGAAGGAAAUAAAAAGCAGUCAUGAUUUUUUGCUUAGAAAUGACUUGUAUAUUUUUGAUAUUUGGUUUCAGGAUUUACUGCUGUUCACUGCACAGGUCUGACCCCCACCCCAGCCCCGACCCCAGCCCCACUCCCCACAUAGGAUCUGUGGAGGUAGCUGAGCUUUUUAAUUUAAUGCACCAUGUACGUUUUUGCUUGGCUAGCCGACUUCUGAACCAGUCGCACUGAAGUGGGUCCACUUCUGAGGUUCUGCAUGCAGACGGCUGUCAGCUAGGCAUCUGUGCGCGCACCUCUUGUGGAGGCCGUGAUUCAGAUGUUUGGAGGAGGGUGAGGGGCUUGGAGUUUCGAGGGAGGGCAGGAUUGCGCAGAUGUGGCUCCUUGCAAAGACCAGGGCGGCCUGGUUUCUGUCCGCAAAGGGAGCCCCCAUUUUCGGAUCAGCGGUUCUGGGGGACACAGAGUUGGGUGUCCAAGCCUCUGAGCGCUGAGCUCCCUCCUGGCGCCUCCAGGCCUCUGAACGUAGGUGGGAGGCUUCCCAGGCUGCCUGGAGGCUGGGGGCUGAGAGGCGGGGCUCAGGGGUCACAGAAUCAGGCCCCUGUCCCCUUGGAGGACCCCGGGAUGAAUGCGGAGGGAGUGGUGAGGGUCAGGCCGCUCCUCCCAGACCCGCUCCCGUCCCCUCCGGGGCGGACGCUUAGGGCAGCCGGAGCUGAGGUCUUCUGGCAGCUCCUGGGAGGCCAGGUCCCAGCACAGGACUCGGCAAGCAUGCGCCCACCUGGCGUGGCAGGGGGCAGGGGCAGAAAGAGGAGGGGUCGCUGCCCUCCCUUCUCCGUGGGGGCAGCGGGGUACCUCCCCGAGAGAAGGCAAGCGGUCUUUUCUUUUUUGUUUCUUUUUAAAAGUUUCCCUGCGUCUGCCGUCUCCUGCCACGCUCCCUGGCGGCCUCCUAGAGGCACGAGGGGUCCUGUGGUUUCUCAGGACUCUGGAAAGAAGCCCCAGGGGGACAGGGACAGCGGGAACAGAGCCCUGAUGGGCCAGGGAAGGUGGCCCUUGGACAGGGCGGUGGGGGCGGCCCUCCACGGGCACACUGAGCAGCCCCCAGGCCGCUCUGUGCCCCUGGGCGAAUCGCAGCGGCUCUCGGCUUCAGUUUGCUCAGCCCUGGAUGGAGCAAACGCCCAGCUGUCCGUCGGAGGGUGGAGGCAAAGCAGGCUGAGAGAGCGGAUGGUCAUGUCUUCAAAACUGGUGGUUAUUCCCCACUCCCCGAGAGCCAGACGCGGUGCUGAGUGCUCUGUGGAGAUGGAGGUGGUCCCCUGUUCAUUCGCUGCAGACCCCAGAGCUGGCGUUGUCGUGGUCCCCGUGGUGGGGGGUGAGGCUGAGAGAGGCUGUGGUCCCUGCCCGAGGUCAUCUGACCUCAGGCGCUGCAGCAGGAGCUGGGACCUGGAGCGGGGCUCUGACCCGCUUGCUGGGUGGCCCCCAGAGCACCCUUUCUCCCUGGCGACCCCACCCGUGCGCCGGUCAGAGAGAAGCUCCUCCUGCCCCUGGCCUACAGCUUUGCAGAUCUCUUCCUCUCGUAGUCACGGGAUCUGUUCCCCGCUUCAGAGACUGCACAGUAAACAACCCUGCCAUUUUGAACAAAGGGGCAGCGUGGUCUGUAACGGCCACGCUCCGCGUGGUUAUAAGACAUGAAAGAUAACCGUCUCAUCAUGUCUCGUUUCCACUAAUGGAGAGCGUGCCUCCAAGGAUGUGUGUGUUGUGUGCAUGAGUGUGUCACGUACACGAGUGCACGCGUGCAUCACGUACACGUGGGCACGUGCAUGUCACGUGCACGGGUGUCACGUACACACGUGUGCACGUGUGGUGCACCCACCUGCACGUGUGUCACGCAGACUGUCGCGUGCAUGUGUGCACGUGCAUGUAGUGUGCACACGUGUCGUGUACACGCGUGUACCGUGUCCGUGUGUGUUGUGUCCACGCACGUGUGCGCUUGCAUGCGUGUGGAGAAUCUCACCCCUGGAGGUGAAAGGCACACUGGUGUUAGAAGCUGUGGCACAGGCAGGGCGAAAGGUCCACGUGGCUUCCAGGGCUCCCCAGGCUGGGGAGCUCCUGCCCAUCUCCUUGCUCCCUGCCUCCGAAGAUUCCUUUAAAGAAGAUCAAGUCCUUUCAUCGGACACUUGGGGCGAGGCCAACAAGGCCAUGCCGGGGUGGCCCUUGGGUGUGGAGGAGCUUUGGUUAGAGCAGGGCCAGUCAGCAAGGGCUCAGGCGUCCUUUUCAGACCAUUUCCCCUGUGAGGCCGAGGGUGACGGGGGGAAGGUGGACUCAGUGGACGCGGGGACCCGCCUCUGCCUUUUGUCUGCAGGUCCCAGAGGCCUCGCACGUCGCUGGGGUGUGUUGUCAAGGGUUCAUCCUGCUGACAGGCAGGGCAUCGUAUUCCAAACAGCGCUAUUUGCAUCAGGCCUGUGCUGAGAACGCAGCUUCCUAGGAAACAGAGAAAGACUGCCCUCGGGGAGCUUGUAGUCAAACACUCAAGGACAUGACUAUGCUGUAAAUACUAGAAGGCUCACGUUUAUUGACCACAUUCUACGCCCAGAUGGAGGUGUUCUGCAGAGGUUGUCUUGAUACCUUCCACAGUUCCGGAAGGCAGGUAUUACUUACGUUUUAUGAAUGAAGAAGCAUAUUUAGAGAAAGGAAGCAACUUGUCUUAGGUCACACAGCUCACUGAGGGCAGAGAGGAGAAUCUGACCCUCACUGUCUGCCUAGCUACCCGCCGAGUGAGGUUGGCUGUGGGCCUGGGGUGUCCCGCACACACACAGGGCUCAGAGGAGCUGGAUUGCUGCCUUGCUCUCUCCUCUGGAGGUCCUGCUCCAGGUCAGGCUCCCCAGUGGCUGACCCGGCUCGCUGUGGCCGCCUGGGUAGAUGGGCUGGUGGCGGGGGUGGUGGAUCACCCUCAGGGCAGAGAGGACAGAGGUGCCCGUGCUCGGAUUCAAUCUCCUGUCUGGCGGUUGUCCAAGAACCAGCUGGACCGCUGCGCGCUGCGGUUGGACCCCUCUGGGGUCCCCGCCUCCCGAGGAGGGUCUCCAGGAAAUGUCUCCAGCAAAGACUUCGAGGAUACAACCUGCUGACUGCAUGGGGACGGCUGUGGCACACCCGAAGGCCCCCGUCUCAGUGCAGCGGGCGCGGAGACUCGCUGUCCUGGCUUUGAAUGUCCGCUGCCCUCCUCCCGGCCCCAUGACUCGGCUCCAGGGGUGGUUUCCUGUGGGCAGUAGGUGGUUCUCCCGCUUGAGAUGCAGUUGAAGAAGCUCUUCUCUUUGGAUUGAUGGUGGAGAAGCAGGCUGACCUGCUGGGCUUACAGCCUAAACCUUAGAUGAGAAAAAGUGAGGCCAGACCCUCCCACCGCUUCCUGAAAUCCUUCAGGACACUUCCUGGGGCUUCCUGAUGGUCCCAUGGUUAAGAUGCCGAGCUCCCGAAGCAGGGAGGCGGGCCUGGGUUCUAUUCGUGGUCAGGGAACUAGGCCCCACACGCCGCAGCUGAUACCAGGCGCAGCCGAGAAAACAUAUAAGAAAAUACUUUCUGAAAAUUCUUAGUGAGAGAGAGCAGAAAGCAAAGUAGUUGUUUGCUUGGACCAAAUGGACGGUGGAGAAAUUUGCUUAAGUCAACUGCAGGCUGGACGCCCUCUGCACAGGCUGUCCUAGGGUGGAGGUACGUCUUCCACUGGUAAACACCUGUACCUGGAAGGAGUCUUGAUAUGUGCUUUUUUUUUUUUUUAAUGAAAUCGUCUUAUCAGUCGAUCUUCAUGGGAGAAAUGUAUUCAUGUGUUGGUCUAUUCUACAAAUAUUUGUUAAGCUUGUACUGUUGGCCUGGCUCUGUGUGACAUGCUGAGGAGACAAAGGUCCAUUUAGAUCAGUGCCCUUGAGGACGGCACUCAGGUAAUGAAUAGACAAGGCUUGGGGACAAGUGAUUACAGUGACCUUGUGGGCAGUGGCUGGAGAUAAGUCUGGACUUCUAAGGAAACGAUGCUUGGGAUAGAGGGAAGACUUCCCUAGGGACGGGCAGUGUCUCAUGACGGUUAAGAGGUGUUCAGAGGAUGUCUCAGGGAGGAGAUGAGACUGGGCUUCUCAGGCAGAUGGAACCACAUGUCCAGAACCACAGAGGCUUGAUGGAGUUUCUCUAAGGAAUGGUAAUGUUGUUGUUUCGUCGCUAACUCUUGUCCGACUGUUUGUGACCCCAUAGACUGUAGCCCGCCAGGCUCCUCCGUCCAUGGACUUCUCCAGGCAAGAAUACUGGAGUGGGUUGCUGUUGCCUUCUCCAAGGAAGGGAUGGUAAUACUGGGAGGCAGAGGUUUUGAGGAAUAGAAUGUGAGACACUGCAUGUGAAAUGCACAGUUCUAGGGGCUUCCCUGGUGGUCCAGUGGUUAAGACUCUAGUCUUCCAAUGUAGGGGACACAGGUUCGAUCCCUAGUCAGGGAACUAAGAUCCCACAUGCCACCCGGUGUGGCCAAAACACAAAAAAUGUUUUUUUUAAUUAUCAAUGAAGUAUACACAGCUCCAUGCCAGGAAAUAGCCCUCGAAAAAACAUUAGCUCUUAUUGUCUUUCUAAUAAGAUAACUAAGGUCACUCCCCUUCCCCUCUUUGUCAGCCUUUUCUUUACUUUCUCUUGCAUCCUUAGUGUGUUUCUUCAUAAUGGGAUGAGAAACUUUAGGAUGGAUAAGUUGCCAAAGGAAAAUUUGACAUAACUAUUUCUCUUUGUGGAGCUUUGGGUAUUAUUUUCAAUGUAUUCUUAUCAUAUGUUGCUUUGAACUGGGCUGAUAUGUUUCCUUUCAAGAGUGACUAGAAUUUAGCACGGAUUGAAUCGAUGGCUGGAGUUUGUUGGAGAUGUGGAAUUAUGAUGAAUAACCAACGUGAUUGACGGUAGAAGUGAGUGUGUUUUUCAAAUCACUUUUUCACACCUCUGUUUUUAUGUACUCUGUGUGUGUAUGCGCACACAGGCGCACGCACGCUCAAUUGCUCAGUUAUGUCCAACUCGACAUAACUAUAGCAACCCAUGACUAUAGCCCAACAGGCUCCUCUGUCCAUGGAAUUUUCCAGGCAAGAAUACUGGAGUGUGCCAUUUCCUACUCCCGGGGAUAUUCCUGACCCAGGGAUCGAACCCGCACCUCUUGUGUCUCCUGCAUUGGUGGAUUCUUUAGCACUUUGCCACCUGGGAAGCCCUAUGUACUUCUGAGUUUAGGCGGAAAACCCCUUGGAGGGUAUUCAGCCGUGUAUCUUGGCGUUGUGCGGAGGCUUUAUUGGGAGGGUGCUGAGGGAGGGGGGAAGCCGAGAGUGGUGGAUACCAGGGAGAGACUGAGGAGAGGAUAUACAACCAAGAUGCAGAAGACAUCCUCUUCCGUGAAAUGCUUUUCAAGUUUUAAUGUCCAAGCUCCUCUGGGAGAUUACAGACACAGGCAUGAACUGAUACUUCUAGGAGGUCUAGGGUUUGGUCUUGGCAGCCCAGAAGUUUCUUAGAAGUCCCUUUCAUUGACCCCAUCCCACCAUGAGAUGACACAUUGCAGACAAUACUGUUUGGGUUUCCCACCGGCUUUCAUCCCAAACUCGGGCACAAGCUACUAAAGAUGUUUGCCUCUGGCUUCUCCUCCCUGGUAAACUGUGGGUCCAGCACAAGUCAUUCCAGCCAGAGAACAUUGUCCAUUUCUUCCAGUUGGUUUCUGUGCGCUUAGCACAAAUUUUCUCACCAUUUGGGGUAACUCGUGGGCUGCAACCUGCAACAUUAUUGCAGGCUGUGUUCCUGUAUCAUGGGCUCACAGAUAGCUCCAGCCGGAAGCUUUUUCAUCAAGUGCCUUUAGGGUAGAUAGGAGAGGACUUCUGAUUCUUUUGUCAGACAUGCAUGGGAGUGGGUGUGAAGGGAUAGCCCAGGGAGCUGAUGUCCUGGAUGAGCAUCAAAGUGAAAGAAACACAUGUGCACAGAGAGAGAGUGACAGAAAGCCUUACGUCAGUGGCUGGAUUCUUUCCUUUUUUUCUGUAAAAUUUCAGCGAUCAGCAUGGUUAUAUUUUAAAGUUACAAGAAACAGGGACUUCGCUGGUGGUCUGGUGCUUAGGACUCCAUGCUUCCAAUGCAGGGGAGCGCGGAUCCGAUCCUUGGUUGGGGAACUAGGAUUCCCAUGUGGCAUUUGGCAUGGCCAAAGGAUAAAAAAAUAACUAAGUAAAAAAAUAAAGUGCAAGGAAUAAUCUAGCCUGGGUCCUCUCCUGGCCCACCCGUCCAGCUAUCUCCUGGUUCACCGCAGUUGAUGGGUCACGUCAUUAGGAAUAUCUCCUCUGUCCUUUAUGCCCACCCCCGUGGGAGUAUCUGAACGCGUUUCAGGACCUCAAGUGGGUAAAGGGUCUCUGAUUUCAUGCUGUCUGAGACAGGCUGCACUGGGGAUCAGUUUUGGAGACCAGACGGUCUCCCUCCAUUUUCCAAAUUCUUUAAUUAAUGAAGAGCAAAAGGACUUCCCUGGCGGUCCAGGAGUUAAGACUCUGCCUCCCAAGGCAUGGGGUGCAGGUUCCACCCCCGGUCAGGGAGCUAGGAUCCCAGGUACCCAUGGCCAAAAAACCACAGCAUAGAGCAGAAGCAACAUUGUAACAAAUUCAAUAGACUUUAAAAAAUGGUCCACAUCCAAAAAAAAAAAAAAGAACAAAGGGCGAGAACUUGCUGAAAUUCCUACUCUGCUCUCAUUGGGGUGGUUGUGAGAGUUGAUUAAAAUGACGAUGUUUAUUUUUUGGGUUGUUUCUGGCAUCAAAAGUGUGACAAUUAAUAGGUUCUCGGCUUCUAGAAGCAGAGAACGGACUUAUCUUUAACUACGCUGUGCGUGUGUACAAAUAAGUGUUGCUUUUUCUGGUGUGUGUGUGUGUAUACCUGGGCCCAUGUUCCCCGGCUGGCAUAUGUAUUUAUGCACAAACGUGCAGGACUAUAAAUAAAAACCACAAAUGAAUGCCUUGGAGGGAAGCGUGAGGGCUGCCCUUUUUGCUUGCUGCCGUCAGCGAGGCAGGCGCCUCUGCUUAGGCAGCGGAGUCGGGAAGAGCGGCUGUGGGAGGGGCUGGCGGAGGCUGCUGGGGCUCUGGGGGCUUCUGUUGGCCCAGUGGGUGUGUUUUCCUGGUGCUGACUUUAAAGAUGAACCUUGAUUUUGAGGCUCCAGGGCCAUGCAGUGUGGCCUCAAAGACAGACUCUGGUAAAUCCUCUGUAGGUCUUCCUACGGACAGCGCUUGUCUGGGUCUGAGACCACGUGAAGACUUCCGGGGAGGUAGACCGGGAGGGACCCCUUGUGAGCAGAAACAGUAAGGAAUGGGGGCGUCUAGGCCGUGGUGGUCCAGUGGUUAUAACUCUGUGCUUCCGAUGCAGGGGACAUAGGUUCGAACCCUGUUCUGGGAACUAACAUCACAUGUGCUGUGAGGUGCUGCUUGGAGCAUUCCAUGGACAGAGGAGCCCGGUGGGCUACAGUCCACGGGGUUAGCAAAAAGUCAGACAGGACUGAGCGGCUAUCACCUUCACUUUUCCUCUUUAACGUGUGUGUAUAUAUAUAACUGACUCGCUUUGCUGUGCUCCUGGAACUAACACAACACUGUAAAUCAACUAUACAAUAAAAGCUGAUUAGAAACAAAAAUAGUAAAUCAACUCUACUUCAAUAAUUUUAAUUUAACAUAGAAAAAAUUUUAAAAAAGUAAGCAAAUCUUAAAUGUACAGCUCAGUGAAUUUUUCCGUAUACCUCCAUGGAACCACCAAGAAAUAGAAUAUUUCCAGCCUUCUGGAAGGUACCGUCUUGUUACCUCUCAGUCAGUAAUGCUCCCUCCCUCCCUCCCUCUCUUAGCCAUUCUAUGGUUAAUCGUACUGUUAAGGUGGCAAAGGCAAGGUUUACAGUCUCCCAGCUGAAUGGCCCGCAGACAAACCCAUCCAACAAAGAAAGAAAGGAAUAUUUUCUUGUGGAGAUGUGGCUAGGUUUGGUUGGAGUUAAAAAUGAAGCUCGGUGGAUCCUAAAACCUUUUUGUGGCUGAAAUAUUUAGACACUGUAUUUUAAGAAAACUUUUUACUCAUUUGUAGACUUUUAUCUGGCCAGGUUUCCAUCCUGAGGGUUUUCCUUUCUACUUAUCUGACAAACCAUAAAUUUUCUUUCCUUUAAGGGCAAAACCAACCCUCGAGCACAUUUAUGGCCCAAGUUUUAAAAGCCGGCGGCCCUUUCUAGCUUGUAUCUCUGGUUAAACAUGUCUCCUUUUCUUGGAGCGGUUUAUGCAGAAAGGAGCUGAAGAUAAUGAAUUCCUCUAGAGAGAGCUCCUGCCCGCCCAGUGCGAGAGAGGAUGGAGGGAAAGCCCCCUUCAUCAGCUGUGGCCGGCUAGUCACGCUCUGGAAGUCUUCCUCCUGGUUCCACCGGGGUCUUUCUUUAUCUAACCUCAGUGGCUUUUUCCUUCUUGGCUUUUGAUUCAUUCUCCUCUGCAUCCUUGAAAGAGUGUCAGAUUUUUGGACCUCGGACAAUUCAUGUGUAGCAAUCCACGCUGAUUUUUGUGAGUCUGUUUGUUUCCAGAACUGAAACCUGCUUUUCGACGAGCUGCCUAGCGAUUGGUUAAUUAGUCGACUUUAGCUUCCCCUGGAGGACAAGGUCGCAGAGUGUCGGGGGUUGGGGGAGACUUUAUGCCCUUCCUGUUGGCUCAUGUGUUGGGGGCGUUAGCCAUGGGGAACUGGGCUCUGUGACUUGGAAAAGAAAUCUAUUGAAGGGAUUUCCUUCCUGCUUCUUGUGCUGUUGGAGAGAAGAUGGGUGAAAAUUUUGGUUACCCCUGGAGCACAGAGCAGUUUUUCCCCUUAUGAAGAGCUGACUUGUUGGAAAAGACCCUGAUGCUGGGGAAAGAUUGAUGGCAAGAGGAGAAGGGAAUGACUGAGGAUGAGAUGGUUGGAUGGCAUCAUCAAUUCGAUAGACAUGAGUGAACAAACUCUGGGAGAUAGUGAAGGACAGGGAAGCCUGGCGUGCUAUGGUCCAUGGGGUCACAAAGAGUCAGACACGACUGAGCAGCUGAACAAUAGAAUAGAUCUCAUUUGGAGCGCAGAUUUUUUUUUUUUUAAUUGAAGUAUAGUUGAUUUACAAUAGUGUUGGUUUCAGGUACAGUAAAAUGAUUUAGUUACAUACACAUACACACACACACACGCGCACACACAUAUUCUUUCUUUUCAGUUCUUUUCCAUUAUAGUUUAUUACCAAAUAUUCCAUAUAGUUCCAUGUGCUCUACAGUGAGCCUUUUUACCUGUUUUAUAUGCGUGGUUUUGUGCAUCUGUUAACCCCAUAAUCCCAGUUUAAUUCUUUCCCAACCCCUGAGCAUAGAGCUUUUAAUGCGCGUGAUUGUGGACCCAGAGCGCUCCUAAUUUCGCCUGCACUGCGCACCUACUGUGCUCCAGAUCAGACAGUGGGUGCACUGCCGGGGCAUUUCCCAGUGAGGCUUCGGCGUCUCUGGCUUCCAGUGCUGCUUGCCCAGGGAGCUUUGAGGUGUGGUCUGGUCCUUCCCUCUUUUGGCAAAGCCACUUCUCGUUGAUUUCCAGAAAUGUGAUUAGGAGUCUUUUCCUGGGUGUAAAGGCCACGCACGGUGACGCGCUUUAGGUACCAGCUGCUGGCAAGGCUGAUGGGACGUGGGAUCACUUCCCGGCCCCUUCGGUCAGGAUCGUCUGCAGGCUUUGGAUGGGACGUGGGAGAUGUAUUUUUGUAGAGAUAUAAGGCUCUAAGUCACUUUGCUGACAAAGUCUAGUCAAAGUUACGGUUUUUCCAGUAGUCAUGUACAGAUGUGAGAGUUGGACCAUAAAGAAAACUGAGCGCUGAAGAACUGGUGCUUUCGAACCGUGGUGCUGGAGAAGACUCUUGAAAGUCUCUUGGACUGCAAGGAGAUCCAGUCAGUCAACCCUAAAGGAAAUCAACCCUGAAUAUUCAUUGGAAAGACUAUUGCUGAAGCUCUAAUACCUUGGCCACCUGAUGUGAAGAGCCAGCUCGUUGGAAACCGACCCUGAUGCUAGGAAGGAGGAGAAGGGGACGGCAGAGAAUGAGAUGGUUGGAUAGCAUCAUGGACGCAGGGGUCAUGAAUUUGAGGAACUCCAGGAGAUGGUGAAGGACAGAGGAGCCUGCGUAUGGGGUUGCAGAGUCAGACACGACUUAGGGACUGAACAACAGGCAUGUCCGACUCUGGCUCCAAAACACCGUUUCAAGAGACGAGAAUACCAGGAUGGGUGAGUGCGCUGGGUGCUGGCCCAGCUUUCAUGUUACUCGUGUUGAGACUCCAGUUGGGAGAGGGGGGAGGGUCUUCAUCAUCUCUUUGCUCAGUUUUCUUUUCGAUCACAUGUGGAGAAUAAUCCUACCCUCCUUAUAUCACAGAGGUCUUUAUGAAGAAAGACAGUUCAAAGCCCAGAAACGUGUAAAAUGUAUUUCCCAGAGGUUUGAAUGAAACUCCUGACCCCUCCUGAGUCCCAUGAUCUUUGUAACAGACUGUGAGCUCCUCUCCUUACACCCAUUUAUCCGUCUCGUUGCCCUUGUUGCUAAGUCAUGUCCGACUCUUCGCAACCCCGGGUACUGCAGCUCACCAAGCUCCCCUCUCCUCCACUAUCUCCCUCGCGCCUGUUCCUAGGUCUCCAGGACAUGCCCUGGGACCCGUUUCAAGACAGUGUUUAAUACACAACCCUGAAGACUCUUACAAGCCUUUCUGGGUAACACUUACUUCAUUGAACUUUUCAGAAAUGAAAAAAAAAAAAAAAAGAAGAAAACGCCGUUUAGCAGACUCAUGGUCACGGGCUGACAGAUGUCACUCAGAAUUUUAUUAUUUAAAGCCACAGUGAUUUUCCAAAUAACCUAAAAAUAUAUAAUCCAACCUCAAAAUAGUGUCCUGUAACAGAGGCCAGAGAGCCCUGAAGGAAAUGAAGUCAGUAUCUUGGCACCCCUUAUGUACUGGUUCAGUGACUUUGAGAACUUCUACUUUCUCUGAGAAACUCAGGCACAUGGAACUGUAUCAGGUUGCUGAGUGUGUCUGCCAAGGUCUCAGAGAGCGGGGGCUGGCUUGGGUGUCUUCCUGUGGUACCCAAGCCAGGGUGACACCUCUUUUAUUCAUGUAAGGAACUUUGUCCCCACUCUUUCUAAAAUUUUGUUGUUCAGUUGCUCCGUCGUGUCUGGCUCUGCAACCCCAUGGACUGCAGCACACCAGGCUUUCCUGUCCUUCACUAUCUCCCGGAGUUUGCUGAAACUCAUGUUCUGUUUAGUUUGCUCAAACUCAUGUCCAUUGAAAUGCCAUCUGACUGUCUCAUCCUCUGUCACCCCCUUCUCCGUUUGCCCUUGAUCUUUCCCAGCAUCAGGGUCUUUUCCAGUAACUCUAUUUAUUUUUGACCGUGCUGGGUCUUCGUUGCUGAAGGGCUCUUCUCUAGCUGCAGUGAACAGGGCUGCUCUCUGGCUGCAGAGCGCGGGCGUCUCGUCGUGGUGGCGUCUCUUGUUACAGAGUCCGGGCUGUAGGGCCCGUGGGUUCAGUAGCUGCGGCCUCCCGGCUCUGGAGCGUGGGCUCAGGGGUUGUGGGGCACAGGGGCUUAGCUGCUCUGAGGCGUGAGGGAUCUUCUCGGACCAGUGUCUCCUGCAGCGGCAGGCGGACUCUUCACUGCUAAGCCGCCGGGGAUGCCCGUCUCCUCCCCGUUCUUCGGGAGCGUGGGUGGGGAGAGAACGGCCUUGAUGCCUUUUGAAAGACCCGGCACCUUCCAGUCUGACAGCUGUUCGGCUGUAUUCAGAAGAUCCCAUCCUGAAUCUGGGCAGGUGGGUGGGAGACACAGUUGUCAAAGGAAAAUGAAAUGUCUUGAGCACCUACCAUCACCCAGGCAGUGUGCUCCCCUCAACCCUCGUGUUUUUUAUUUAUUUCCACUCAUUAUUUAAGUCAAUAUUCAGUAGUAUUGAUUUAAACUUUUUAAAAAAACAUUUAUUGACGUGCAGUUGAUUUACAACUUUUUUUUUUCUCUCACUGCACCGCACAGCUUGUGGGAUCUUAGUUCCCCAACCAGGGAUUAAAUCCGCACCCCCUUGGAAGCAUAGAAUCUUAACCACAGGACUGCUGGGGAAAUCUCAAUAGCGUUGAUAUUUAUACCAAUUACGUGAACACAUAAUUAAUCAUAAGUAAUCCAUUUGUUGGGCUUCCCUGGGGACUUAGACAGUAACAAAUCUGCCUGCGAAGGCAGGAGACACAGGUUCAGUCCCUGAGUGGGGAAGGUCCCGUGGAGAAGAAAAUGACUACCCACUCCAGCAUUCUUGCCUGGGAAAUCCCAUGGGCAGAGGAGCCUGGGGGGCUACAGUCCAGAGUCGCAGAGUCGGACACAACUUACAGACUAAGACAACCACCACCACCACCCAUGGGUUAAACCACCUUGUGAGAAUUAUGGUCCCAUUUUACAGAUGAGGAAGUGGAGUCCUGGACAUGUUCAGGAACCCACCCUGAGUGUUACGGGUAGGAGAUGGCAGAACCCGUGUUUGAGUCUAGGUGGAUUGAUUCGGAUUUUGGCGAUGGCGCGAAUCUCUUUGCUGUCUCUAUAUCCUGAACCAGGAGCCCUGGGGCCGCGGGUGGGACCGACAAGGCCGUCUUUCUAGGACUAGCAGUCACGGAACUGGUGAGUCUUGACAUGGGGGGCGGGGUGGUGCGUGUGGCAUUUUCCCCUUUUCCGUGCCCCAGCCUUUCCGAGAAGCCGUCCCCAGGUGUCAGCUCCUGCGCCACGUCCGUCCUGCUGGAGGCUCUCUCUCCGGGUCGGUCUCCAGGAAGCAUCUCUGGGCGGCUUCCGAGCUGGGGGAGCGGCCAGCCUCUGACUGGCUGUUGUUUGGUUUUCUCUGACUGGAUCUUUGUUUCCGUGAAGCCCUCAGCUGCCCAGGCUCUUGCGCCGGCUUGAUCGGGGCCACAUGCAGUGCUAGCCUGGUUAAGUCAACACCGUGGGAAUAUUACCUGUCUGUUAACCUGUCAAGAUUGCUUUACGGUCCCCUUUUAUCUCCCCCUCCAUGCCCAACGGAAUUUCCCCUGGAGUUUUCUGCCUGCCUUCCUGCAUCCUGCAAAGCCGCCCCCACCCCCGAGUCAUUAAAUAUUGUCAGAGUUCCGCCACUUGCUGCCGCCUUAUUUGCCCAGUGCAGAUAAACUGGUGUUGAGUCUGUGAUCUGGACCAAGGACACUGGGCUCCCAGCCCCGAGAAAGUCGAAGCGACGCCUGCCAGGUGGAGGUGGUGGUGGUAGGGGGGUGGUCCGCGGGGUCUUGGGGCUGCCUGAGCCUGGGGGGUACUGGGGGUGCUGCCCGAGCCUGCAGUGGGCUGGGGAGGGGCUCUCUGAGCUGCUGCUCAGCCGGUCAGCUCUCUGGCUCAGGGGCCUGGCCACCUUCCCUGCCUCUUCCUUCCCUCCCUGCCCACUCCACCCUCUCUCUAAACACCAACUUCAUAAACUGGAGGGUCUUAGGGGAAUGUCCAGUUCUAAACCUCAGAGAGCCUCAGACCUGGCUCCGAGCUUUUCGUCUCACGCUUGAUUGAAUAAGUUCAGCGGUUCUUUAGAGAUUCACCCUUUUUGCCCCCCAUAACAAUGACAGAAGGCUUAUAACGUCAAAUGCACCCUUGUGAUCAUUUUAAAGUGUACGGGUCAGUGGCCUUAAGGAUGUUCACGAUGUCGUGCGGCCAUCACCACCGUCUGUUCUAGAAACUUCCAGAAGGACUGCGGAAGGAAGCCCUGCACCCGUUAGCAGUCACGACCCUCCCUCCCUGCACGGAGGGACCCUCCCUCCCGCGACCCUCCCUCCCAUGACCCUCGUGGACCCUGGCCACCUUGAAUCUACUUUCCGUCUCUCUGGAUUCGCUAGGUCUGGAUAUUACGUAUCAACGGUCUCAUGCUCUGUGGCCUUUUGUGUCCGGCUUCUUGUACUUAGCAUGAUGGACGCGAGAUUCCAGAAUUCACUGUUUCCGGCUCAGGUUGAGGACCCCUACAAAGGACAACGGGGCAGCUGCUGAGGGCAUCUGGGCUAGGCUUAACCUGGUCCUCAAGUCUUGACCUGAGCCUCUGAUCUCCCCGUCAGUGGCCUGCUGCUUCAGAGACUUCCCGCUGCCUCCUAGGGGAGGCCGUUUGGAUGUUCAUGGACACCAUCGGGCCUCCCUCCCUGCCAGGCUGGGCGGGGACCAUGGGAGCCCCAGGGUCUGGAGCUGCUGGGGUCUGGGGUGACUGUGUGGGGAGGGGGCCCUCCUGGGCAGCCCUCCACCCCUCCAUGAUCCUGCCAAGUGCUGUGGCCCUUCCAUCCUCUGGGUCGGAAAUGGGACAAGUCCUGGAACCGAUUCCUCAUCGGCCACCUGGGCUCCGCACAUUGUCCAACAGAGCCCUGUCUUUGGAUCAGAGAGUCUGUGUAAUGUUAGGGCUGUGGGCUUCGAGUCAGCUGGCCCUUUAAAUCUUCUCUCUGCCCUCACCUCGCUGCAAGCUCUCAGUUUUUCCUCCUGCAGAACAGGGAAGACAGGGGUCCUUACGUGAGGACUAUGAGGGAACUGGAUGUGUUGGUAACCGUAAACCACCAUGGUGGGCCUGGCAUUUAGCAUGUGGACAGUAAUGGGUCAUUGUUAAUAAGAUCUGGGAUUAAAAAAAAAAAAUCAGUGCAUCCACAUCAACUUGGCGCCCUUCUAGAGUUCUGGCAACUUCUAGAAAGUGCACAGGGCUUUACUGUAUCAUUUAAUUUGAUGCGUUAGCUGGCUUUCAGUUCGAAAAGCUCCAAACUCAGAUCACAGUUUGUUCUGCGACGAGGAGAAAACGUUACUCCUCUCCGAGUCAGCUGCCAGACAGAAUGACCCCCGUUUCUGCUUUCUGUGUAUUUGUUUCGCUGUCAUUUGGGGGAUUUCUGACCUUCUGAGGCUGUUCCUCGCUCAUUCCUGUUUCCAUUCCAGUAGGCUGGCCCUGGGGACGCUGGGGACUCAGUGCUCAUUAAUCUCGAGUGACAUGUGUGGGGUCUGGAGAGCAUGAAAGAGUUAACAUGCCUCCUGAGGGCCCAGGCCUCUCGGCUUAGGGGGGGCGUGGCUUCGUUUUAUUUGCAGCAGGUUUAGUGAAAUUCGGUGAAGCUUCCUGAACACCUACUAUGUGAGUGUGCGAAGUAGGCUGUGAGAGGCUGGUGGGCCUCCGAUGUUGGGUUCCAUUUAGAGCUGGUUUGGGUGGUGCGUGAGGUGUGAAAGACCACUGCAGAGGGCAACAACAAGGCCCCUCUGUGUAGCAGAGGGGAUGACAUUCAGCGUCCUGGGAUAAAGGGGAAUGGAAAAGAGUAUGGCGAAAAGAACGUCGCUGUGCAUGACCGAGCCGCUUGGCUGUGCGGCAGGGGUUGGUGAGGGUGGUGUGUGUUGUGUUUCUCACUCAGUCAUGCCCAUCUCUUUGUGACCCCAAGGACUAUAGCCCACCAGGCUCUGCUGUCCAUGGACUACUCCAGGCAAGAAUACUGGAGUGGACAGCCACUCCCUUCUCCAGGGGAUCUUCCCAGCCCAGGGACUGAACCGAGGUCUCUUGCAUCGCAGGCGGAUUCUUUAUUCUCGGAGCCACCAGAAUUGGUGCAACAUUCUAAGUCAACUAUGCUGCUGCUGCUGCUAAGUCGUUCCAGUCGUGUCCGACUCUCUGUGACCCCAUAGACAGCAGCCCAUCAGGCUCUGCCAUCCCUGGGAUUCUCCAGGCAAGAACACUGGAGUGAGUUGCCAUUUCCUUCUCCAGUGCAUGAAAGUGAAAAGUGAUAGUGAAGUUGCUCAGUCGUGUCCGACUCUUCGCAACCCCAUGGACUGCAGCCCACCAGGCUCCUCCAUCCAUGGGAUUUUCCAGGCAAGAGUACUGGAGUGGGGUGCCAUUGCCUUCUCCGAAGUCAACUAUACUUCAGUAUAAAAAUAAAUGAAAAGAGAAAGAGAGUGUGUAUAGAUAGGUACAACUGAGUCAGUUUGCUGUAGAGCAGAGAUUAAAUCAACUAUCCCCGAGUAAAAUGUGCCUUUUAACAAGGGAGGUGUGGGCAGCUCCCCACGCAGAGCCAGGUUCCCCACCUUGGCCGGUGUUCCAUAAGCCUCUCAGGGGAGCUGGGCAGACACAGGUCACGCCUUCCACAUACAGGCUCCUUGGACGGUUGUGUCCAUUGCUUUGCUUGGCCCUUGGAACUCCACUCACUUUUGUUUCCUGCAUGAUGGAGCUUUUACUUUGAAUUAAAAAAAAAAGACCCCACUUCAGUGGAGCAAAACAGAUGCUAGUUUGCUUCUAUUUCUCCCCUCCAAUAGUGUGUGUGUGUGUGUGUGUGUGUGUACUCUUCCUUUAGGGAGGAUGAACCUGUAGAUAUUUUCCUAAAGUCAGGUUUGCAAGUGAAAGUGGGCUUCCCUGGUGGCUCAGACGGUAGACAAUCCACCUGUUGAUGCAGGAAACCCAGCUUUGAUCACCGAGUCAGGAAGAUCCCCGGAGGAGGGAACGGCAACCCACUGCGGUAUUCUUACUAAGUCCUGGUUGACAUACAGGAAAACCCACCCUUUUUUUGUGUUGAGUGGAUUUUCAUCUUCAAUGCAAGGCCCCCUUCCUGAACUCUCCCCAAGAUUUCAGACUCUCUCUGCCUGCAGACUUGAGUGCCCAGGGAGGUACACCUCAUGUACUUACUCCUUGAGGUGACAUCAUUUCAAACAUAAUUAGAAUGUGGUCCUGGGGGGGGAUGGAUAAACAAGGGAAGGAAGUUUUUUUUUCUUUUUUCUCUUUUAAGGGAAUCGGGUAACAGUUGCUAAGUCUUUGCCCAAAUGUCUUAAGGAGGAUGCUAAGGAGAAAAUGUCUGAACUGGAGGAGGGGGGUUGUCUGUCGGCAGGAAGGGCUUAGGCAGCCUUGUCCUGGCUCUCUGAGGCUGGCUGGGCUGGAAGUGGGUACGUGGAAGACCCCAAGCCACGUGCAGUUGGGAUCCAGAUGGGGAGGGUGGGCCUGUGGAGCAUCGCGGCGAGCUGGGUGACCUUGUCUUUUGCCUGCAAGAAAUUGAAACGCCUUUCCUUCUCGAGCCCUGAAAGGAGCUCCUGGGGCCCUGGGCUCUGGGCAGAACUCCGCAUCUGCUUGCCACUUAUGCCCAAGCCCCUACUCACUGUGAUGCAGUGGGUGUGAGCGAGAGUGGUCCCGGCGCCUUUCCAGUUUGCUGGCUCGGGGAUCCCGUUCCAGGGGAUUUUGUGUCAUGCUGCUUGGAAACAAGUGGAAAUAGGCCAGUUGCAAACUACAUGGGGCUCCUGGGCUUCCUGGUUCCCUGGCUGUGCCCAUGUUCCCAUCAAGGAGGGACAGAGCAGAGUUCUCUACACUCAGAUAAGCUGCCUUCAAGGAAGGAGAGGAGAGAGGAGGAGGCAGGAGUCCCCUCUGUCUUAUCCACCUCGGGCUUGAUUCCCCCCAGGGGACAGGCAGGCGAUGCUCUUGCCCUCCAUGCCCUUGGGAGGAUGCAGCCUUCUUUCUGCAUGCACCUCGGUGAGGAUGGUGGUGUAGCGCACCUUGGUGGCGGCUGCUGGUGGGGGAACCAACAGGCUGGUCAGACAGAAGGGAGGGAGCUUCAGGAGGCCCCAGGGAACAGCUUUCUCUCCUCCCAGCAGCUCACAGGCUCAGAGCCAUAUCCUGGCUGAGCCAUAGAGCCUCCAGCUUCUCUGGGGCCAAGGCUGAGUCACCACGAAUCCCCCACAGUGCUGGCAGUGGCUGCUUAAAGAGACCCCGGACUGAAAUCAAUGGCUGGGUUCUCCCCCUUCAUGGAUCACAGCCUUGUCGUGAAGCGGGAGGAGUCGACCCACUCUGAUGGUGGAGGACAGAGGAGCCUGGUGGGCUGCAGUUCAUGGGGUCGCAGAGAGUCGAACACGACUGGGCCACCAGAGGAGGUUCUCCCUGGAAUCAGGCUAGAUCAGGGUGUGCGAAGGGUCAGAGUCUAUGGGAAGAGCCCAGGCCUGUCUGCUGGGGAAGAGAGGAGGCCGGCCUCUGCCUGUGGCUUUGCUAUGGGAGGGAGUGCUCAGGGAGAACCCUGUGGGCUUAAGCCCGAUCCCUUUAUUUUAAGCAGUCCUCCUGAUAAAACAGGUUAUCACUUAGACCUGUCACUCAAUGAAGUCCCUAAAAAUGCAGUUUCACACUUAAGCGUCCGAGGAGCCACAGGGAGAUGGACCCAUUGUACAGAUGAGGAAGGAACGCGCUGGGGCUUCCCAGGUGGCUCAGUGGUAAAGUAUCCGCCUGCCAAUGCAGGAGACGCAGGGAAUGAAGGUUUGAUCCCUGCGAGAAGGGCAUGGCAACCCACUCCAGUAUUCUUGUCUGGAGAAUCCCAUGGACAGAGGGGCCUGGUGGGCUACAGUCCGUGGGGUUGCAAAGAGCCGGACACGACCGAGAGACUGAGCACAGCGCACGAGCUUAGAAGGAUGAGCUCAACCCAAGUCAAGAGCCAAUCAACAGUUGCCUCUGAGGGUUUCAUCUCCACCCUUGUAGGCCAAGGUCAUGUGUCAGCGAGGCUGGUCCACCUGGGCUCUCAGCCCUCCCAGGGGCCCUUUUCAAUCUGUAGCAGCAGAUUCAUUCCUCUGUCUGUUAGGGGAAUGUCGGUCUCACCCACUGGCCUCGGGAGGUGGGUGGUUUCUGAUCACAUUCUGUCUCCAAAACCUGGCACGGAACAGGCUCUUUAACUGUGAAAUGUGUGAAUGGACAGAUGACCCCAGGACUCCUGUGUCCACCUUUCAGCCAUCUGGUAGACCCCAGCCUCCUGCCCCGGUUGGGUGCAUGUGGGAUAAGGCCCUCUGAACAUGGGUGGCCGAGUCCAGCUCCCUCCCAGAGAUUGGCAGAGAGCUCGGCCGUGCCCUGCACAGCCCCCAGCCAGCCUGCGCCAUCUGUUUGCCGCAGCCUGAAGCCUUGGGUGGCGGGUCCAGUGAUACUGUGGUUUCCCUUCCCCUUCCCUACCUCUCGCUGCCCAUCUCUAGGUGGGCACAGUAAGGAGCACUGGUAAGAGGAACCCAGGGGUUAAACCAGUCCUAUUCUGGGAGCCUGGAGCAGGUAGGGACAAACGAGUCCCAAACCAAGUUCAAAGGGGCUGAAGUGCUCUCGAGUCCUUACAGGCAUUUGCUUGCAGUGCACGUCAAGAUGCCUGCAGCAUCCACCCUGCCUCUUUGUUGCUGUUCAGUCGCUCAGUCGUGUCCGACUCUCUGCGACCCCAUGGACUGCAGCACAUCACGCUUCCCUGUCCUUCACUGUCUCCUGGAGUUUGCCCAAACUCAUGUCCACUGAGUCAGUGAUGCCAUCCAACCAUCUCAUCCUCUGCUGCCCCCUUCUCCUCCUGACUUCAGUCUUUCCCAGCAUCAGGGUCUUUUCCAAUAAAUCAGCUCUUCACCUCAGGUGGCCAAAGUAUUAGAGCUUCAGCAUCAGUCCUUCCAAUGAAUAUUCAGGGUUGAUUUCCUUUAGGAUGGACUGGUUUGAAGUCCACCUGGCCUUGGCUGGAAUCAGAACCCCUGAGAAAAGAGUCACUGCUACUGUCCUGUGACACUGCCCGGGGUGGUGUCUGGAUCCAGGCUCCCUGAGUUUGCGUCCCGGCUAAGGCGUGGGUGACCCAGCCUCUAGAGGGUCUUAAAGGAAGUUCUCUGCUUUCCCUGGUUCCCUUUGCCCUCGGAGGUGGAGUUUGCGUCUCCCCUGUCAGAGGUGUGCCCUUUUGCGUAGCACUGUAACGCUGGUUAUUCCUACAUGCCAGCCUUCAUCUGCUGCAAGUUUUCUUUGCGCCCAGCAGCCUGUUUUAUUUGGCCUUCCCUGGUGGCAGAGAUGUUAAAGAACCCGACUGCCAAUGCCGAGACCCGGGUUCAGUUCCUGAGUCGGGAAUUUCCCCUGGAGAAGAGAAUGGCAACUCACUCCAGUAUUCUUGCCUGGGAAAUCCAUGGGGUCGCAAAGAAUCAGAUACAGGGAGGGCCUUACGCACGCACACACACAGCCUGCUCUGCUUACAGGAUGAAGGUCUGUCUGUAGUUGUCCUCUCUGUUGAAAUGUGUGCUGCCCGAAUACACGUAAGUAUUCAUGAUGAAGACAGACGCGACAUUGAGGGAAUAUGGCUGAAAGCUCAGGGCUUUGGUCAAGCUUCAUGGAAGUGUGGUCACUUUUACAGACUCCACGUCACAAUCUAACACACGCUGACACCCUCGCGUGAUUCGAAUCCUAAGGUCUGAUCUUAUAAUGGCUCAAGUUGUAAUUUAAGCUUGAUAGGUCGAAUUGGCUACAUGUCAGAGAUCUCCAGGGUUUCCCUAGGGGCUCAGAGGAUAAAGAAUCCGCUUGCAAUGCAGGAGACCUGGGUUCAAUUCCUGGGGCAGGAAGAUUCCCUGGAGAACGAAAUGGCAACCCAUUCCAGUAUUCUUGCCUGGAAUAUUGCAUGGACAGAGCAACCUGGCAGGCUACAGGGGAUCGCAAAGAGGCGGAUACAACUGAGCGGCUAACACUUUCACUUUCAGAGAUCUCUGAUUUGGUUUACAAAGACUCUAUUAGCAGAAAUGGGCUGCUUCACCCUGGAAGAUGCAGGCUGGAACAGUGGUGCUUUGCUGUUUUAAAUUUCCUUAAUUAAAAAAAAAAAUUUUUUUUGGCAGCACCUUGUAGCAUGUGAGAUCUAAGUUCCUUGACCCGGGAUUGAACCUACGCCCCCUGAAUUUGAAGGCAAGAGUCUUAACCACUGGACCACCGGGGAGGUCCUAGUGCUUUGCUUUCUAAGGCUCUGUUCUCCGUGCAGUAUCUCCUUCUUGAAUGACUACAGUGCUUCAUCAGUAAACAGGAGAAAGUGGCUCCUCUGUUUUAAAGUCUGGUUUUUUGUUUGUUUUCUUCCUUGGACUCAUAUUCUCUAUGCUGUCCCCUGGCUGAAGUCUUCUCCUCCAUAACGGCCAGGGGACCACUUGGGAGGAGGGGGACGGGAAUGUCUUCUGGGAAGACCCUGUAUCCUGUAACCAGUUGGAUUUUUCUCUUCCCUGAACAGAACCUCCUGAGGUUUCUGGGUGGAAUUCAAAAGUGAAGUAGGUUCUCCCAGCCACUGGAGCAAACGACAGAGUCCCCAGGGAGAUAAAAAGUCCAAGAUCCUGGGCAUUGUUCUCCUGGGAAUGGACCUGGCACCUGUGACCUCAGACACUUGAUCACUCCUGAUCUGAAGACAUGGCCUUCACCAGAAUGACAAUAUCACAAAUAUCAGGAUGAAGGAAACUUCUCACGGGGCAGCCCUUUCUCCUCCCAGAAUAUUCUCAACUUCCUGUUGUUUUUUAAUCAGCUGCCUUUAGAGGAGAGACUCUUACUUUAAAGCCGCGUUUCCCCCUCUAAGAGGUGGUGUUGUGUAUUAAUUCAAGCUGAGUUUGGCAUGGAAGAGUGUUCCCUCUGACCAGUAGCUUGUUUUUUCUUUUGCUUUGCUUUUCUCUUUGCAACCCGGGAUGGCACUUAAGAAUUCCCCAGCAUGGGGUAGGUCUCAUUUUUCUAAAUCUACCCUGCCUCCCUUUUUUUUUUUUCCCCUCCAAUCGUCUCAAAUAUAGAGCAUUUUCCUGCACACAGGGACAGAGUAUUUUGCACUGAAGAGUGGAGUCUCCAAAUAAAAUAUAGGCGUCUUUUGGUAGAGUGACCGUGCCACGGCUGGGCAGCUUCCUGGUUCAAGCUCACUCUGAGCCGUUUCAGACAGGCAAGCAGUUUUGUAGUCUCUCCCCCUCCCCCUGAUCCUUUCAGCAUCAGAAUUGGAAAAAAAAAAAAAAAAAGAGGCAUAUAACUUUGCUGACUAUCAAAUCCUUUUGUCCUUCCUGGUACACGCGUUACUGCACAAGCCUGCUUGGAGCUUGCCCUUCCGGGAGUCUCAGGAGAAACUACAAAGAGAUGUGAAGCAAAUUGAACUCGAUGGGGGGAGUUGCCCCUGGACCCUGAAAGUCGUUCCCUGACUGAAACGCUGAAGCCUGAAGCUCUCACUGUGUGUCAGGCCGAGAGUAGGGCCAGCGGCAAUGGGAGAGAAUGAAGGUCUGAUUUGGGGGUGCCUCUUGAAGAGAAUCAGUCUGGUUUUGAGAUGGGGGUGAUUGUCUUGGAAGUCCAGGAACUCUUUCCCACUGUCUCUCUAGAGUAGCAGUGCCCCACUUUUUGGCACCAGGGACCGGUUUCGUGGAAGACAGUUUUUCCACGGACUGCGCGGGGGAACGGUUUGAGGAUUCAAGUGCAUUGCUUUUGUUGUGCACUUUAUGUCUUAUUAGGUUAUUAUUACAUCAUAAUAGUAUGACUAAUACAUUGUAUUUGUUAUUUUUACAUCAGCUCCACCUCAGAUCGUCAGGCAUCAGAUCCCAGAGGCUGGGGACCCCUGCUCUAGCAUAUGGAAGAGUUGGUUUACCAAGUCAGUUUUUUUGGUCCUGGGUGAAUCUAAGGGAAAAUUAUCCAUCUGUUGGGAGGAGGCUAGUGGGCUCCGGCUUUCAGGAGAGUAUGGCCCGAUGAAUGAAGACUCUUAACCUGCUCGUGGUGCACUUCCAGAAUUUAUCCUGAUGCUGUCUCAGACAAGUGCACACAACCAUGCCGUUUGUCCAUCUGACACUUACGGAAAUGCCCUUUGAAUGGAGGGUGUCACCCACUGACCCCACCCAGUGCCAGGGAGCUGCUGAAAAUGCUGUCGGAGACUUCUGUUGAUAAAGAAAUGUUGUAUGUUCAUGAUGUAGGGUUGUGUAAAAAGGAUCUGUUUAAAAACUAUACCAGUGUGCUACAAGGUGGUACCCAAGACUGGGUCCUGGAACUGAAAAAAUGACGGGCCAGGAAGCUAAGGUGAUCCGGAUAAAAUCUGUGUUUAACAGAAAGGUACUGAUGUUAAUUUCUUAAUUUUGACAAAUAGCCAUGGUUAUGUAAAAUGUUGAUACCAUUUUAUCCUUCAUGGGUCAAGGAUAGACAGGAACUCUGUAUGACCUCGGCAACUUUUCUGUUUAUCUAAAAAUAUUCCAAAAUAAAAAAGUUUGGUGUUUUUUUUUUAAGCAUAUGAAAACACUUAAAAUUUUUGGAAGGAUUUUUAGUGAAAGAUUAACAGAUUACCUCUGAAUGCUGUGAUUAUAACUGAUCUUAGUUUUCCAGUUUACAAUGAGAGUUAUUUUGGGUUAAAAAAAAAUCGAUAAAGUUCAUUCCCUCUGGUGAAGGAGAUUAGCAUACACAUAUAAUUUGUUGUUAUCAUUGUUCUUAUCCCGUGGCCUAUCUCCCUCGCCAUUAUAUUUCUUUUUUAUUUGAUUGAGUUUUAUUUUUGGCUGUGCUGGGCCUUUGUUGCCGUUCUGGCUUUUCCCUAGUUGCAGCGAGCAGGGCUUAACUCUCGAGUUGUGGUGCGGGGGCUUCCCUGGUGGCAGAGCAGGGGCUUCAGUGGCCUGGCACCUGGGCGUAGUUGCGCUGUGCAAGUGGGAUCUUCCUGGACCGGGGAUCGAACCUGUGUCUCCUGCGUUGGCAGGCGGAUCCUUUAUCCCUGAGCCGGGGAAGCUUUCUCCGUUAGAUUUCCUAUAGAUCCUUUAGGGUUUAAGUUCUCCCUUCUGGGUGCAGCCAGGCAGGGAAGAUCACCUAUGAUGACAAAGCAUAGGAUGAAGGCCCUCUGGAAUCAGAGAGGCCUGUGUUUGAAUUCGUCUCUUACCAGCUGUGUGGUCUUGGUGAAUUACUUGCUUUGUCUGUGGAUCAUUUUUAAAAACAUCUCUACAAUGGGUUUAAUGACCCAGAUCUCACCAGUCCAUUUUUAAGAGCUAAUUGAAAUAAUACUGUGUUACUCACAGUGGAUGCCUUGGUGGUCUCGGUCCCUAAGAGAAUCUUCUGUUUGAUGUUUCUUACCCCGAACACGCCUUUUCUGAAAACUUGCACACUAAGCAUUACUACUUCUGAGAUAGAGGAGAGUGUGAAUUAUAUGUAUUUGUUAGUUCACUUAAUAAGAAUUUAUGGGCUGUUACUCAAACAUCGGGUGUUUGAGAAUCAUGAUUUUGCUGUUCCCGUCUCAUUCCCACUGUCCCGUGUUCCGUGCCUGGAUAAUCUUUGUGGGUUGCGUUUGUAUAUGUUGUGUCUAAAUUAGGCUGGUUGGAAAAAAUCCUUCAUAGGUGCGAUUUUUUUUUCCCUCUCCCUCUCAGCCCAGAUUCCCUCAUAAAGGUUCAUUGACUUCCAAUGUCCUUGUCCCACCUUACCUCCAAGUGCUAAUCUCUGCGGAUCCCUGGGGAGGGAGGCGUGGCCAGUCAUCCCUGGUGGUGACUGACUAAAGGUGUUUCUGUAAACUCGCCUGUCCAGGCAGAGUGACCCCAGGAUCCUCAACUCAAGAGCUGGAGCCUGCAGCUCUCCUGCAAAGAAUCGAAUGGUUUGCCCUUCUGGAAACCAGACCGCUUACCGUCUGAGCCCAGCUGGGCCACCGCUGACCUCUCUGGAAAGGUCACUAGAACCUGUCGGAACUGCCUCUCCUUCAUAAUAGCAUAGGGGCCGCUGAAUUUCCUGGGUCUGAUGUUCUCUGAUUCUGGAACAUUUGGCAAGAAAAGACACCAUCCUCGCUCACCUUCCAGAACACAAAACAAAAAAUGCCAACAUCAGAGGCUCAGAGGCUUUGAACAUACCAUUCAAGAUGAUGUUUAUUUAAUAUUGGCUAAAAAUGUACUACUUUACCUUUGAAAAAAAAUUAAAUGGCUUGGAGAACUUCAAAGCCUUUCCUCUCCCCUCUGCUUUCCAGGAGGAGAAAUACUUUUCAAAGUCGUUUGAAUUUUAACGAGGAGGGCCCCAGAAGCCCUUGGGAUGGAGAUCCGUGAGUCAGUCAAUUAUUUUUCAGAAGGUGGUUUUAUGCACAGCUUGAAAUGGAGACCCUUCCCCUGUCCCGUGUCGCUCCCCACUUCCUUUCCUAUUUUUAAUUUCUCACUUCAACCCUGUACAUGUGCUGAGAAACUUAAUCCAUUUGUUUCUGAUUCAUUUACACUUAACUCAUCAAAACGCUAUUUAGGGAGAGUAUUCGAGCCUGGGAGGUGCUGAAUCCGAGGAACAGGAAAUUGUGUCUUGUGCAGAGAAACUGACUGCAGACCCAGGCUGCUCUGACUUUGCUCCUGAGCCAGACCCCAGAGUGAAUCUCGGUGUCCGGCGACUCUGAACCCAGCCCGAGGGCCCCUCGUGCUUUGCCUUCUUCUUGGCUCUCUCCAGCCUCCUAACUCUGUACACCAUGGGUUUGUGUGAAUAGCUCUGAAAACUCACCACAUCAAUGUUCUUUUCAUAUGAGACUGUUUGAGAUGCACUUCAUCUCCCUCCCAAAUUUUAUUAUGGAAAAUUACAAAUAUGUGUAAAAAUUGAAAGAAUUAUACACCGAGCGCCCGCAGAUACCCACUGCAUCGAUUCCAUCAUUGACUUGCUGGACUUGCGCUAUUAUAUAUCCAGCUUAAUUUCCAGGUGUCUCUGUCUCAUUUUGUUUGGUGCUUUCGGAGUAAGUGACAUGCAUGCGCACACUUUCCUCCAAAUACUACAGCGAGCAUCGUUGUUAUUGUUGUCGCUAAGUUGUGUCUGCCUCCCUCUGUCUGCAGCACACCAGGCUUCCUGUCCUUCACCAUCUCCCAGAGUUUGCUCAGACUCAUGUCCACUGAGUCAGUGAUGCCAUCCAACCAUCUCACCCUCUGUCACCCCCUUCUCCUUUUGCCUUCAAUCUUUCCCCAACAUCAGGGUCUUUUCCAGUGAUUUGGCUCUUCACAUCAGGUGGCCAAAUUAUUGGAGUUUCAGCUUCAGCAUCAAUCCAUCCAGUGAAUAUUUAGGACUAACUUCCUUUAGGAUGGACUGGUUGGAUCUCCUUGCAAUCCAAGGGACUCUCAAGAAUCUUCUCCAGUACCACAGUUCAAAAGCAUCAGUUCUUUGGCUCUCAGCCUUCUUUAUGGUCCAGCUCCCACAGAGUUGCCUUUUCCCUCUUGCAAGUUUUUUAAUCCAUUUAUUAAAAAAUAGUGUCUAAGGAUCUGCUGUUCCCACAGUGCUAAGUGGGAGGCUGAGGGCAGUUUGGAAGUAAAAACGACGUGGUUCUGCCUUGGGGUACUCUGUUCAGGAGAGACGAAUGAAAGCAGCUAGACUUGCAGGCAGGAGGCCAGUGCUGGGAGGGAUUUGAGGGAAGGAAGUGCACACUGUCAAUUGUCACCUGCAUGACGCGGCCUUGACCCAGAGCCUCCACGUGCUCAUCUGUGCAAUGGGGUUGUGAUGGGUCCACCUCUCAAGGUGGGCGGUUGUGGGGAUUCGAAAGCCUGCCCAGAAGGUCCUGAGCCUCAUGCUGUGCAGAGCGCUGGCUCGAGAAGGGGGAGCCUGGAAUCACUGCGUUUCCACGUCUGCUCGGUCUGGGGCUCCAAAGCCAUUGAACUCCAUUGGGUGAGCCGGGUCUCUCCCAGCAAAGGUAUACUUUCCUUACAAGCUGGGAUCGUCUCGUCUGAUUUUUCUGGGCCCCACCCCGAGGCUCCUGCAGACUCAAUGGAUGCUCCUUAAUCGUGGAAAUUCAGGUGUAAGGGCUUAAAAAAAAAAAAAAAAACGAAAAGGAAACAUAAACCCCACCAUGGGUGUGGCGUUGGCUCUGCCCGCAGACCUGGAUAAUCUCAGACAGGCUCUUCAGACCAGCGUUUUAAAAUCUCAGCGGAUGCUUGGUAAGGAUUUGAAGACCGUCUUGGACUGUGCUUCCUGCCCAGCCCCAGGCGACUGGGGCUCCCGCUCUGAGUCUGGCCUCUUCUUGGUAAAGGCGAUUGUAAAUAAUCAGCGCGAGAUGCCUACAGGGGAGGAGCCUCGGUGAAGGAUGGAGUCCCCGACCCGCUUCUAAGAAUGUGCGGAUGGAGAUGGUGCGUGGGCGCUCCGUGCACCGUGGCACAGCCUCGAAGGGCGCCGGACCUCCGGCCGCCCUCCAUGCCCUUCGCCGCCUCCACGCCGGUCCCACUGCCUCCUGUCGCCACCGCGCCUAAAUUCUAACAGCGGGGCCCGGUGUCAGAGGCAGAGAACCGUCUGGACUCCCCUCCCGGCCUCCCGCUCCAUCGGUCCCUUUUGCUCCAAGAUUGAGUAAGAGGCCUUGGCGGCGGAGCUGGGCGAGACAACUCAAUUGUUUGAACUUGCAGAGAG